AAGAGAAAGGGACAGAGGGACGGGCGAGAGAGAAGGGGGAAAAGUAAGGGGAAAGGGGAAGGGGCAAGGGUGUGGGGGUGACGAAGUAGGAGGGCUAAGACGGUGAACUGUGGUCUGUGGCAUUAGGAUGGUGAGGAGUGGCGGCUAGGGUUUGUUUUUGGAAGAUUGGGAGGAAGAAGACAAAGUGAAAGAGAAUUAAUUUAGGGUUUAGGUUAAAAAGGGUGACACGGUCUUGUAAAAGGCCAUGUUAGGCCACACGACUGUGUCAC
rnacentral:lncRNA from 1 species